CAGAGAGCAAGCCCAUCACCUCUCGCACAACUUCCCACAGAAGCCCUCCUAGCUUCCAGCUCCGCCAUGCUCUGUGAUUCCUUCUCUCAGGUUCCUGAGCAGAAGUGAAAAUUAGGUUUGAUGACAAGGCUUGGAAAAGGGAGAAGAGCUGGGGAGAAAUACAGUCAUAAUAAAGGAACCCAUUUGACUUCACUGAAGUUUUGGCUUGCGUAGAGAAUGGUUAGGAUUGUUUUGGAAUCCUAAAGAUCUACUUUUCAAACUUUGACCCUGCUGCUUAUCUGUGUGAAUUUGGAUUUUCACAAAGGAAAAAUGCCCCAAGGAGCUUUGCUGUAUAAUUAGG